GGGAGGGGUGUGAUGGGAAGGCCUGGUCCAUCAGUGGACCCACCUACUUCAAUACCCCUACCCAG
ensembl:miRNA